rnacentral:lncRNA from 1 species
CUGGGAUUAAAGGUGUGUGCCACCACCGCCCGACAGGGCAAACUGUUUAGACCUACAUCUGCCAGGGCUCCAAGGUGGACGUUCUUGGGCCAGUCUCAGCACUCUGCUUCCCUCCAGGACUGGGCACUUGCCCAGCCCAGCCCUCAAUGCAGGAGCUUGUCCUGGGACAGGCAGAGAAAGGAUCAGGAACAGAGAGAAGCCCUCAGAGGAACAGGAAAGGAGGCUGCGCUGGGGCAGAAGAGACAGCUGGGAAGGAC